GGGCGUUUACCACGGUGUGAUUCAUGACUGGGGUGAAGUCGUAACAAGGUAACCCUAGGGGAACCUGGGGUUGGAUCACCUCCUUACCUUAA
rnacentral:rRNA from 2 species